UAGCCUUGCAUAAAGGAACAUUUCAUGCUCAAGGGUGGUUGGAGCAGACAGACACAGGGCUGAAUGGCAACACUUUGCCAUACUUUUCGAGAGCAGCAUGGGGGAGUGGGUAAGAAGAGCUCAGGUAAGUGAGCAGGUAUAAAGCAGCUUGUUAGUACCAGACACUGAACAAGCAGUUAAGAAAAGAGUGUUCUUGUGGCAAAUUUAUGGGCUGGGAAAGAAGACUUGUGAACACAGGAAAAACGGAAGGAUGGUGGGAAGAGGUAGGAACAGAUGGGUUGGAGCAGGGCUGCAGAAGGCUGUGGAGACAGACAAUAGUAGGAGUUGAUAUAUGGGUCCUAAUCCCUGGUGCCCUUACUGAAACCUUCUAGGGCCCAGUUUCCAGACAAGUGUCACUGUAGCCAUUUGGGGGGAGGCCAUCAAUGGGUUAGACAAGAUGCAACAAAGCAAGGAAAGGGGGCCAGAAAGAAAAAGUUGAGAGCUGCAUAAAGCUUUCUAAUAUUCAUGUUGCUUUCGUAGCAGUCUUCGUUGCCUUUUGGUUCUUCACUGCACCUCUUUCCUGCUGUAGUUCUCCUGCUAGGUCAUCAGAUACCAUAAUCCUAGCAGGAGCCCACGUGCUAGACUGGGGUGUGCCAUACUAUGCAUUAUUGCUUGAGAACUAAUGAAGCUUGUAUCUGGCAAUAUGCACUACUACAGGUGAUUUACGAUAGAGGAAAGCAGAUGUGCAUUAAUGACUGAACUGGGCUGCUGCUUGAGUGGUGUCUUGGCUAAAUCCUUUCAUUUUAGGUACAAGAAUAUUGUAGCUAAUUUAGGAACUAGAUUGGAGGCUAAGAAUGAGAGAGGGAGUUGGCCUUGUGGUAGCAUCAGGCUUGCUUGACUCUUCCAUAGCUCUUUUGCACAUUGGUUUUAUUUACUGUCAGAGGAAGAAGUUAUUUCUCAGUUCCCCAGCCCCAUGGGCCAAGUCUCCCUGCUGUGGUGAGGGCUGGUCUCCAUGGCUCUGGUAGCUGGCCUGUGGUGGCCCAGGCCCACAAUACACUCGUGCCAGGUGCAGGACCCACAGACCCCCACAUCUCCACAGCCCUGUGGCUCCCGGCCAUCACUCCACUGCAACCACCUCCACAGGGAUGUGCACACACAGAGCACAAUUUGAUGGACAUUAUUUAUUUUAGAGACCAUCCCAAAGGGCUGGCCCAGGUCCUGCUCGCAGCGGGGAUCUGUGGCCUAGCGCAAGGUGGGCACUGUGGCCCCCAGCCCCGUCUCCCCUCUGCCCGUUACCAGGUGGCACAAGGCCUGCGGGGCUAAGGAGGGAAAAGGCAGGUGGUGAGAGUGGGCUGUGGGUGCGAACAUGUGGCCUUUGUUUUUAAGUGAUGUUUGUCCAGCGUGCUGCCAUGCCAGUGAGAGGUGAGGGGGCAUCAUAGGCAGUCACAGGUGCCAUAGCCUUGCGUUCUUGACUUAAAUCCAGAAUUCUGUCUGGGGGUUAUUUGUGCCAAAGCUCCUGUCUGAGAUAACAGGAUUUAAUCAUAAUUUUUCCAUGUACAUUCGUAGCUGUUUUAACUACAUGUAAUGUAUCCUAAAUACAUUAUUAUUUAACAGCUCAAAAAUGCUUCCAAAGGAGCUAUUCAAGUAGUGUCUGUAAAUAACACACCUUUUAAAGUUAUGUGGAAUUCUUAAUGUCAUUUGGGGACUUCUCUUAUGUUUCCUUAGAAAAAAAAUGACUUCUCCAAUCAGUAUUUACCCGAAGAAUUGAAAUAGUACCAUUUUCGGUUGUGCUAAUUACCUCUUUAUAUGACCAAUUAUGUAUCUGCUCAUCUGAGAUUUGGAGAGAGCUUCCCUGAAAGUCUUAACAGUCCUCAGAGGACUGUAGCUAUAAGAGAUAUUUUAAAUGCAGGAGGAUUGAAGGAUCUGGCAUAUUUUACAAUUUUCCCGCGUAGUACAUGUACGAUACCAAACACCUAGUGAGUGGGAAUAAUCAUGGAUGAGCUCUGACUUCAGGAGCAGAGUAUGUGAAGUAAACUGUAACUUCCCAGUGUUAAUCCUUUCACUGCCUUCAUUUUCAGCCUCACUCAACACUUACCUCUUCUGCAGCUCUCCAAAUUUCUUAGAAGCCCCUUUGCUCCUCCUGCCUCUUCAAGCAAGAGCAACAGAUGUUUCCUGUCUGUUUAUUUGUGGAAGGCAGCGAGCAUUGGAGCAGAAAUGGUCAAAACUUUGCUCUGUCCUGCUUAUGAGUGAGAUAGUGUGAAAAAACAAACUAAGGACUCUGCUCUUGAAUGUUGAACACAUAAAAAGGAGGCAGAGUUAACUGGCCUGAUGUCACUGCAAGGGACCUUUACAUCUGAGAGUGUUAAGGUAAAAGAGCUGUUUGUGGAUGUCCCCUGUUUAGUCAUCACACAAGUUUUUAAAACUGUGCAAGACUACAUUAUCCCAUCUAUAUAACUUCAUGCAAUUAAACCUAUAAAAUUAGAAAAAAUUCUCAGUUUUAUAAAAAUACAUAAUUAAAUCUACAAAUUCAUAAAUAAUUUAUUGCUUACACAAAAGUUAUAUUCUUUUGUUUUGCUAAGUUUUUUGACAAAAAUAAGUGAUUGCCAUAUUAAAGCUCGGUUCAGUGUUAUGCCACAAAAAAUGAGUCAAGUGAAACACCUUUAUUAUUUUGAGUAAGGGCUGUGAAUUUUCUUUCAAUGUUCAUGACUUUUCUCAUGCUUUAGAAACAGGCUAGUUUUGAAGUUCAGCACCAAAUACUGUAAGAAGAUUGUAGAUUUCAGAACCAGAGAAUGUUAACAGCUGUAAAAGAUUACAACGAAGUUCUUAAAAAAUUAAUAGUUAUCUAAGUUAUAAAAAAGUCAACACCAACCCUCCCCCCAACACUUGGCAUGUCAAAUAUAAAGAGUUUGCAGCCUGAGUGUUUAAAGACUGGUGUGUGCAUGCAAAAUGUGAUUUGUUUUUCAAGUGCACCAUUCAGCACAUAUUAGUGAUCCCUGCGAUUUAAAAUGACAUUUCUCUUUGAGGUAUUUUAACCUGCGCUUAAUCUGAGGAACACUCAAAGUAGCAAUACCUGGAAAAUGCCACAGAGGCCAAAAGUUUUCUACUCUUUUCUUGUUUAGUUUCUGUGUUUGGCAGCACACUUUUUGAUCUGUUCAUUUAGUGUGUGCAGACAAUUUGUGCAUAGCAGAGAAGUGAAAUGUGAACCUGCAAUCCCAAGACUUCAAAACCAGGCUGAGAUACAGCUACUGUAUUUGAUGAUUAUCAGAUUAAUAUUUCUUGGAGCAUGAAAGUUUUGCACAUUUUGAGGAAGAAAAAGGUAACAAAAGGGUCCAAGACUAAUUACAAACAAGCACUUGAGCGAGGAGAACUUACUUUCCUGAUUCUCUUCAGCCAGGCCUCAUCACAGAGUUGCAUAAGUCCAUUAAAUGAAGUUCCUUGGGAAAAAUGAAGAUAUGGAGGAAGACAAGUACUUAGUAAGGGGAGGUAAGAGUUAAGGCCUGGGACCACAGAACAGCUGGAAUAUGUUAGUUUUACAGGAAGGCAGCCUGGAGAGGGAGUGUGAACUGCCAGCAGGUGGCUGGGAAUGGCUGAAUAACUCAGUGGUGGAACUGGAAGAGAGUUCUGCCUCUUACUGUGAUGACUCGGCCAACUUCAGCCUGUUUUUCUUUAUAACAGGGGACCUUUGUCAAAGCCCAUUAAAGUAAAUUUAGCAUUUCCCUUAAAUAUAAUAGGUUCUGGAUCUGGCCCCUGCUUGUUUUGACACUGUUUUUGUUCGCUCUGUCUCUUAAAACUUUACCUUAUUCUUUCUCUGAUGAGGAAAAGAAAGCUGGUUGACUGCUAGACAGGCUUCAAAGGGUGAGACACUGAUAUGUCCCUUGGACAGACUGCCUCCAAGUCAAGCAGACACUGUUUUGUUAAGAGAAGCUGCAGCAGACAAGUCUGGGAAGAAAGGUCUGCUGGGGUUUCCCUUCUGCAUCAAGGAAAGUUAUGCUGACAAAAGAGAGCUGCUUUUACCACAGUGAUGCUUUGCUGUGCUUUGCAGUACUGGUCAAUGUCCUCCAGAAGUUCUGGUCAUAAAGUGGGCUUUACUCUGGGUGGCACUAUACAAACACAAGAAGUUGGCCCUGCCCAAAAGUCCUUGCAGUGUAGGUAUAACCAGGAAGCAGA